AGAAAAGCGAGCGUGGAAACACGCUCUCAUUUCAAACCACUGUGAAAACGCACGUUGCUUCGGCGGCACUCUCUCAGGAGGGGUCAGCCCGCCGGCGGCACAAACCAAACCUUUUUGUAACAGCAGUCUGAACAACGAAAGCAAAUCGUUA
rnacentral:misc_RNA from 1 species